rnacentral:rRNA from 1 species
AUGUUUGGGUAGUGGCCAAACAUGGUUGCAACGGGUAACGGAGGGUUAGGGCUCGACCCCGGAGAAGGAGCCUGAGAAACGGCUACAACAUCCAAGGAAGGCAGCAGGCGCGCAAAUUACCCAAUCCCGACUCGGGGAGGUAGUGACAAUAAAUACUGAUACAGGGCCCUUUCGGGUCUUGUAAUUGGAAUGAGUACAACUUAAAUCCCUUAACGAGGAACAAUUGGAGGGCAAGUCUGGUGCCAGCAGCCGCGGUAAUUCCAGCUCCAAUAGCGUAUAUUAAAGUUGUUGUGGUUAAAAAGCUCCUAGUUGAACCUCGGGCCUGGCUGGCGGGUCCGCCUCAUCGCGUGUACUGGCCCGGCCCGGGCCCCUCCCUCUGUGGAGCCCCAUGCCCUUCACUGGGCGUGGCGGGGAAGCAGGACUUUUUACUUUGAAAAAAUUAGAGUGCUCCAGGCUGGCCUAUGCUCAAAUACAUUAGCAUGGAAUAAUGAAAUAGGACGCGCGGUUCUAUUUUGUUGGUUUCUAGGACCGCCGUAAUGAUUAAUAGGGACAGUCGGGGGCAUCAGUAUUCGAUCGUCAGAGGUGAAAUUCUUGGAUCGAUUGAAGACACACUACUGCGAAAGCAUUUGC